UGCAGGUCGAGGGGCAUCAGUUUGGUUUGCUUGCAAACCAAAGCUGGCGACCGGCGCACGGGUGAGUAACACGUAUCCAACCUGCCUCAUACUCGGGGAUAGCCUUUCGAAAGAAAGAUUAAUAUCCGAUAGCAUAUAUUUCCCGCAUGGGUUUUAUAUUAAAGAAAUUCGGUAUGAGAUGGGGAUGCGUUCCAUUAGUUUGUUGGGGGGGUAACGGCCCACCAAGACUACGAUGGAUAGGGGUUCUGAGAGGAAGGUCCCCCACAUUGGAACUGAGACACGGUCCAAACUCCUACGGGAGGCAGCAGUGAGGAAUAUUGGUCAAUGGACGCGAGUCUGAACCAGCCAAGUAGCGUGAAGGAUGACUGCCCUAUGGGUUGUAAACUUCUUUUAUAUGGGAAUAAAGUUGCCCACGUGUGGAUUUUUGUAUGUACCAUAUGAAUAAGGAUCGGCUAACUCCGUGCCAGCAGCCGCGGUAAUACGGAGGAUCCGAGCGUUAUCCGGAUUUAUUGGGUUUAAAGGGAGCGUAGGCGGAUUGUUAAGUCAGUUGUGAAAGUUUGCGGCUCAACCGUAAAAUUGCAGUUGAUACUGGCAGUCUU
rnacentral:rRNA from 1 species